CUGCAUCCGCUGCUCUGUUAAGUGAUCACCACAUUCAUUGUUCUCGUUUCUAUUAUUUCUGAAAAAAAUCUUCAGGAUUCUGCUUGUGGGAGUGGAUGACAUUUUUACAGUGUUUACAGGCUGAAAAUUUUUCGAGCUUUUAUGCUCUGCUUCCGUUAUAAGGAGGAGGCCUCACAAUCCUGGUGGAAGGCAAGGAGGAGCAAGUCACAUCUUAUGUGGAUGGCAGCAGGCAAAGAAAGCUUAUGCAGGUAAACUCCUCCUUAUAAAACCAUCAGAUCUCAUGAGACUUAUUCACCAUCAUGAGAACAGCACGGGAAAAGACCUGCCUUCAUGAUUCAAUUACCUCCCACCAGGUCCCUCCCACUAUACAUGGGAAUUCAAGAUGAGAUUUGGGUGGUGACACAGCCAAACCAUAUCAGUAUAUGAAUUUAUUAUUUUCAGAGGCUGUAAAAACAUGUAGCAGAGGAUUAGGAUUCCCAAGUUAUGGAAAGCAGGCAAGAUAAACCCUAGAGUCACAGAACACACAAAGGGCUAAAAGAUGCUUAUGUUAGAAUUUGCAAAUGUAAAGACACCUGGACAUUUAGUGAAAACUUCACAGUUGCAAUGUUUCAGUUGUACAGCUAAAAUAGUCCAAGUCAGCUGUUACUAAAACACUUUAGGAAAACUUAAAAAAAUUCAAUCAAUUCACAAAUAAAUUGUCAGUAGAAGCAAAGAACAUCACCAUUUACAGGAAAAAAAAACACAAUCACUCAAAAGUAUAAUAGU
rnacentral:lncRNA from 1 species